UGAACUAGAAAUGAGAGAGUGUCCUGAAUCAAGGACUAUGAUUAAUCUAAUUCUGUGUGCCUGAGGAUA
rnacentral:snoRNA from 1 species